CUGAAACAAUGAAGAGAUGGAAAGAUCAAACAAACAGAUCUUUGUGGAACAACAAAGAGACGAGAACACGGAGGUGCAGAAAGGUUGAGUCAGUGGUCAGAUCUGCCUGGCUCCAGACCCUGUUGGCCCAACCAUCAUAUGAUGCUGCCUCUUUUAAUCCUAAGUCCUUGGAAACGUUGAGAUCACAAUGAAUUGACUCUUCCUGUGGAUACUGGGAAAGGGGGCAGGGUUAGCAGACAGGGAGAAGGUGACAAGAACACAACAGAGGAGAACAAGAAUGCAGAAGGAGAAAAGUGAAGUUUUGCUGGUUUGGAAGCUGUAGUCCAAAGGAUUUGCCUGCUAGGCCUAAAAAGAGAAGGUCAACCCACAGAUCCCAAGGAUGCACUGCACGAAUCCAGUGACAGCCACUCUGAUGAACCACAGAAUGAACAGUGGAGCCUCCUGGACUUGGGCAAGGUUGUGGCCAUGUCCCCAUCACCAACUUAGUGUACACUACUAUGGUCUCUUGCCUGACAACUGCAACAUUUGCCCUGUUUCUAUGCUGGCCCCAUGGAAUUCGUUCUUCAUACUUCAGACACGUUUCAAAACUCAAGUCUAGUUACGCAGCCUUCCUG
rnacentral:lncRNA from 1 species